rnacentral:rRNA from 1 species
GAUGAACGCUGGCGGCGUGCUUAACACAUGCAAGUCGAACGGUUCUAGCAAUAGGACAGUGGCGCACGGGUGAGUAACACGUAGCUAACCUGCCCUCAAGCGCGGGAUAACGUUCCGAAAGGAAUGCUAAUACCGCAUAAGCUCCCGAUCUGUAGAGGGUUGGGAGAAAAGGCGAAAGUCACUUGAGGAGGGGGCUGCGACCCAUCAGCUAGUUGGGGAGGUAAUAGCUCACCAAGGCGACGACGGGUAGGGGGCCUGAGAGGGUGGCCCCCCACACUGGGACUGAGACACGGCCCAGACUCCUACGGGAGGCAGCAGUGAGGAAUAUUGCACAAUGGGGGAAACCCUGAUGCAGCGACGCCGCGUGGGUGAUGAAGGUUUUCGGAUCGUAAAGCCCUUUUCUGCAUGACGAGCAAAGGACGGUAGUGCAGGAAUAAGUGUCGGCUAACUACGUG